GAUGAAGGACGUAGCGAAAUGCGAUACGUAAUGUGAAUUGCAGAAUUCAGUGAAUCAUCGAAUCUUUGAACGCAUAUUGCGCUCUCUGGUAUUCCGGAGAGCAUGCUUGUUUGAGUAUCAGUAAACACCUCAACUUCCAUAUCUUUUUUGAAAUGGGAGUUGGACUUGAGUGAUCCCAACGCUUUUCCUCACCGAAAAGUGGCGUGUUACUUGAAAUGCAGGUGCAGCUGGACUUUUCUCUGAGCUAUAAGCAUAUCUAUUUAGUCUGCCUAAAAAACAGAUUAUUACCUUUGCUGCAGCUAACAUAAAGGAGAUUAGUUCUUGUGCUGACUGAUGCAGGAUUCACAAAGACAGGCUUCGGCCGACUUUGUAAACUCGAUCUCAAAUCAAGUAAGACUACCCGCUGAACUUAAGCAUAUCAAUAAGCGGAGGA
rnacentral:misc_RNA from 1 species